ensembl:lncRNA
GGUGCCGCUGUUGUAGGUGCAGCAGUUGUAGGUGCAGCUGUUGUAGGCGCAGCUGUUGUGGGUGCUGCAGUUGUAGGUGCAGCUGUUGUGGGUGCAGCUGUUGUGGGUGCAGCAGUUGUAGGCGCAGCAGUUGUAGGUGCAGCAGUUGUAGGUGCAGCUGUUGUGGGUGCAGCUGUUGUGGGUGCCGCUGUUGUAGGUGCAGCAGUUGUAGGUGCAGCUGUUGUAGGCGCAGCAGUUGUAGGCGCUGCAGUUGUAGGCGCAGCAGUUGUAGGUGCUGCAGUUGUAGGUGCAGCAGUUGUAGGUGCUGCAGUUGUAGGUGCAGCAGUUGUUGGUGCAGCUGUUGUAGGUGCUGCAGUUGUAGGUGCAGCUGUUGUAGGUGCAGCAGUUGUAGGUGCAGCUGUUGUGGGUGCAGCUGUUGUAGGUGCAGCAGUUGUAGGUGCUGCGGUUGUAGGUGCAGCAGUUGUAGGUGCUGCAGUUGUAGGUGCAGCUGUUGUCGUCGUUGUUGCACCUGGACUUGUUACUGCUAUUUCAAGAAAUAUUAAAUGAUUACCGACACAAAGCUUACAUUUUACUUGUGUCAUUGUGAUUCAUAUCUGAUGCUUAGCUUACCCAUUAUAACCAGGAAGAUUAAUAUAAUCCGUGCCACAGCCAUCUUUUUUGUUUUGAAUCCCUACAAAUUGAUCAACGUAGGGGUUCAGUCACAUAGGUACAUGAUGAAAGCUUCCAUGUAUUUGAAACUUUUUAAGUUGCAUACUGUAUUCAGUUUGAACAUGACUAUGGUCAUUGUAGCAGUACGUUCAACUUACACAACAUUCAAAGGGAAACAUAUAUAUUUUUCAAAACAGUGUCUCAAAAUAUUCUAAUCCUGAGUGACAGAGAUUCUAUACUUUGAGACAAGGUAUGGAAUACAACACACGUUUAACAGGAAACAAAAUCCGAAUUUUAUAAUAUGUUAUUGUUUUGUAGCUAAAGUAGUCAAUAUAUAUACAUGUGCAAUGCUAAGAAAAAAAUAAAACGCUUGUUCCAUAAACGUGAUGAAGAGAUAAAAAAACUAAUAGAACUGGAUUAAAAAAUGAAUAUCAGAAAAAGACAAUAUCCCACGAAAUGUUAAAAAAAUGUUAGUAAUAAGUGAAAAUCUCUUCUGUAAUCUUCAAUCAAAGUAAAGCAAUGAAAUACAUAAAUAUCUUCAAAAAAUCUGAACGUAUGUAUAGACACAUUCAAACUCUUUCUCUUUAUCUCUCUCUUUGACACACAUGCAGAGACUAUAAAUAUACAGAAAUCUGUUUAUUGACUUAAAAAUAUACUUACAGGAAUCUAUCAGAUGAAGACCAGAGAUGAAAGGUUGUGAAUUCCCCUUUCUUGCUUACUUUGCACCUGGGAUGUUGGAAACCUUACACUUGAUGUGACAAAUCACAUAAAUUACAGUCUUUUAUAGGGACACGAUCGAAAGCCAAAGACGUCACUCCCGAGUUAAUUAUCGUAAGCUAUAAUUUCUUUCGGAUUCUUGGCUAAGUGUUUCCUUCUUUUGAUCUAUUAAAACAAGUCUCAUUCCAUUUACUUAAAAGGAGAAGGAAGCUCCAUCCACGUCACAGUAAGUUAGAAUAAAAAAUAUGUCUAAAGUAUUUUAUAAAAAUAUAUGACAAAAGUACAAAACAAUAAUCCCCAUUGAAGCUUAGCUACUUAUAGACUGAAAAAGGUUUAUUAGAUCAAUAUUUUUUGGUAAGAAGUGGUUAUAUUUAGUACAUAGUGAAUAUCAUCUGUUAAUUAGAUUAGAUUUCGUAAUUUAACUAAUGCAGCAUAUUUUAAUAACAAGUAAACAGCAGCUGCAUAAUAUAGUCAUCACCUCGUUAAAUGUUACAUAUUUAAAGGACCUUCAAUGUACUUCUGAAGCAGUUCCAUGAUAAUCCUGGCUAAUAUGAAGUAUGAAAGUAUUAUAUAUGAUUUCAUUUUUAGUUUUUUUUUACUCCUCAUACUUUUAGGAAGAAAACUAUUUAAAUCAACUUGACCUGUAAAAACAACAUCAAAUGCAUUCAUCGAUUGAUGACAAUUUUAUUGAAGCUUUUGACCAAAUUGAUAUUAGCCCAUUGAUUGUGAUUAACUUUGAGACACAACUACGGAUUAGUUUUUCAUGAAAACAAGAUUCUAUAUCCUUUCUACACUGGCAGUGGAGGUUACAACAGAACAUUUUAGCUAAAACUAAACGUUUUUCUCAUUUGUGUUUAUGUGUUUUCACUCAUUUAAAUGUUUCUUUUCAAUUUUACUCGUUUCUUUCAACGUCAGCUUAUGUUAUGCCGCAAAUAAUGAAUACGCAGUGAUCAUCUGUCACCCUAUUCUAUGAUGCUAUGCUUAGCUUUUACUCUUAGUGAUGUCUUUGUUAACAAAGACUAUCCCUGUGGUUUUCUUUUGUCUUGUACUUCCUGGUGAUCAACCGUCAACAAUCCUUCGAUUAAAUUGUUGGUUCAUUGCAGGUUGGUUUCGUCUUCCAUUGCCAAUACUCUUAGUUAAGUUCUUGUAGGUUUUCAUUAAUUAGACUAAAGACAAUUUUCCUACAACUCAACAGCAGAGAUAUAGCCACAGCAAUGACUCAGCAAAUCUAUGACCUUGUAUGACCUUAGAGGACUUAUCAAAGUUACAAGACAAGACAUACCUGAUGCAUGAGGUGUAAUGUGUUGUAUAAUCUGCUAAUAAGAUAAUGGCCAAAAAUAUAUUCAUGAUAGUUUGGCUUAUUGUGAAACAUGCAAUGUGUUACACUAUAUAUUAGGGGUGUAACGAUUCGAUUCAAAUCGCGAUUCAUGGUUGCCGAUUUGAUUCAUGGACGAUCUGGGUUAAUUUAGAACGAUUCGAUUUGAUUCAGUGACUUGAAAUCAAUUCAGUAACUUUACUGGACAGUGCAGGCAAAGUUUCUGAGAUCCCUGUUGUUUCUUGUAAGGAAAUCAGGUUUAAAUUAAUUAUGGAUAUUAUAAACAAGCAAACGACAAUUAAUGGCAAAUGUAUUAACCUUUUAUUUGAAUCAAGUGCCAUUUUCAAUGUAAACAUUACACAAUAAUUACACAAUGUUUGGAUCAAUUCACAGAACCCCGGAUUUUCAACCACAUUGUAGGGUCGCAUGUCUUUACAGCUAAACUUGGCAAUUGUUACUGUGAUGCUGAGUUUUGUGCUGGCGAGGCCUGAGGUGUCUGCAGAGCUGCAGUUACCUGCUGCUGCUGCAGCGGUGACGCUGCUACAGGCGCCUGACUGUCGGCGUUGUUUAAUCCCACGGCGCCUUAGUAGAUGGCUGGAAAGAUUUGUCGUGUUUCCGUGUUUUUUAUUUGGCUUCUACACAUUCUACAAACAGCGACAGACUUAUUUAGAACACCUCCGUGUUUGCAAAAGCCAAAAUGUUCCCGCACGCUGGAUCGAUAAGUUGGUUUGUAAAUGUCUUGCUCGCAGUCGUCUCCUCCACGCUGUGUUUUGUUGUUGUUCAGAGUUUCGCGCGGCUGCCACUUCGUACUGAAGACGUCACAGUCAGGCAGACUGAAUCCAGUAACGUUCAACGUGUUUAAAGUGCUAAAAAACAAACAAACAAACACGCAUCCAUACCGUUUUUGUACUUAAAUCCAAUGUGCAGUUUCCAAGUAUCGAUACAAUCGAUUAUGUACCAUUUCAAUCGAUUUGUAAUCGAUAUAUGUUGUCCUGAAUACCGAUUUGCGGAGCACAGAUCGAUUCAGUUGGAUCGCAGGAAUAUAAAUCAAUUAAUCGAUUCAGUGAAUGAAUCGUUACACCUCUACUAUAUAUAUAUAUAUAUAUAUAUAUAUAUA